rnacentral:tRNA from 1 species
UCCGAAUUGGUGUAGUGGCUAACAUUUGACGCUCUCAUUUCGCAUCAACAUACACACCAGUCUGUGAUGCGGUGCAGUGCCGUCAAGCCCGGGGUUCGAUUCCCCGAUUCGGAG